GACGAACGCUGGCGGCGUGCUUAACACAUGCAAGUCGAACGGAAAGGCCCUGCUUUUGUGGGGUUCUCGAGUGGCGAACGGGUGAGUAACACGUGAGUAACCUGCCCUUGACUUUGGGAUAACUUCAGGAAACUGGGGCUAAUACCGGAUAGGAGCUCCUGCUGCAUGGUGGGGGUUGGAAAGUCUCGGCGGUUGGGGAUGGACUCGGGGCUUAUCAGCUUGUUGGUGGGGUAGUGGCUUACCAAGGGUGUGACGGAUAGCCGGCCUGAGAGGGUGACCGGCCACAUUGGGACUGAGAUACGGCCCAGACUCCUACGGGAGGCAGCAGUGGGGAAUAUUGCACAAUGGGCGGACGCCUGAUGCAGCAACGCCGCGUGCGGGAUGACGGCCUUCGGGUUGUAAACCGCUUUCGCCUGUGACGAAGCGUGAGUGACGGUAAUGGGUAAAGAAGCACCGGCUAACUACGUG
rnacentral:rRNA from 1 species